GGAGCAGGAAGAGGUUGCCGUGCAAAUCGAGGAUGGACUCUUCAGCCUGUUAAUGAAUGAAACUAUAACUGCGCUUUACCAAUGCUGAUUCCAGUCACCUGAACAUGGCAAAAACGCAACAUCGAUGCUUAAGUUUCUACUCGCCAGAUGAAUCAAACACAAACAAGAUUCUAAAGCAUAUGUUUGGACUAUCUUAGUCAAGGGAAUCUGAUAAAGGAGAUAAAAUGUAGCCAAUAUAAAAACUCAUUCAAGUGACAUAAAGUUUUCAGCUUUAGAAAUUAGCAGGCAAAACAGUUUUGAUUAGAGCUUGAUCUAAAGGCUCAGAUUUUGCUAUGCUUUUUAUGUAAGAAUGAAGCAAACAAAUGCAAUGUACAUUAACCUCUUAAAACAAUGCAAUGUACAAAUGUACCUUUUGCAUAUCUCUGCUUAGUAGAGAUCCCAUUGCUACACUUUACAGCAAGAAAUUGAAUUCAUGCUAAACAGAAACAGAGAAGAAAAUUCAAAUUGUACAAAAUUAGUAAUUGGGUUCAUGGCAAGGAUUCGCGAUCGCAGCCUUCCAAAUAAAAUAACCCUAAAUCCUCAAUUUCAAAUCUUAUCUAGAUCAUUGAGAGACAGUGAAGAGAGGAUUAAAAAAGCUCCGAUUGUCUAAAAUCGGAGAAGAAGAAGUAAAAUUGAANNN
rnacentral:lncRNA from 1 species